rnacentral:rRNA from 1 species
AGCGAACGCUGGCGGCAGGCCUAACACAUGCAAGUCGAACGAAGUCUUCGGACUUAGUGGCGGACGGGUGAGUCACACGUGGGAACGUGCCUUUAGGUUCGGAAUAACUCAGGGAAACUUGUGCUAAUACCGAAUGUGCCCUUCGGGGGAAAGUUUUAUCGCCUUUAGAGCGGCCCGCGUCUGUUUAGCUAGUUGGUGAGGUAAAGGCUCACAAAGGCGACGAUCAGUAGCUGGUCUGAGAGGAUGCUCAGCCACAUUGGGACUGAGACACGGCCCAAACUCCGACGGGGGGCAGCACGGGGGGAUCUGGGGCAAGGGGGGAAAGCCUGACGCAGCCAUGCCGCGUGAAUGAUGAAGGUCUUAGGAUUGUAAAAUUCUUUCACCGGAGACGAUAAUGACGGUACCCGAAGAAGAAGCCCCGGCUAACUUCGUGCCAGCCACCGCCGUAACAC